rnacentral:ncRNA from 2 species
CAAGACCUUCGGGGCAGGGUGAGGCGCGCGGAGCGCCAAUUCCCGACCGGCGGUAAAGCCCGCGAGCGGCCAGCGGCCGCAGGAUCCGGUGAGGCGUCAGCAGCGCCAAUUCCGGGGCCGACGGUAUAGUCCGGAUGGGAGAAGGUCGUU